rnacentral:rRNA from 1 species
AUUGAACGCUGGCGGCAGGCCUAACACAUGCAAGUCGAGCGGCGCGGCGGACGGGUGAGUAAUGCCUAGGAAUUUGCAUGGUAGUGGGGGAUCCCGUCCGGGGACGGGCGCUAAUAACGCAUACUAGCAAAUGAGUCUCGGUCGGAUUAGCUAGUUGGUGGGGUAAAGGCCUACCAAGGCGACGAUCCGUAACUGGUCUGAGAGGAUGAUCAGUCACACUGUAACUGAGACACGGUCCAGACUCCUACGGGAGGCAGCAGUAGGGAAUAUUGGGCAAUGGGCGAAAGCCUGAUCCAGCCAUGCCGCGUGAGUGAAGAAGGUCUUCGGAUUGUAAAGCACUUUAAGUAGAGAAGCGUUACCAACAGAAUAAGCACCGGCUAACUUCGUGCCAGCAGCCGCGGUAAUUC